rnacentral:snRNA from 1 species
GUGCUCGCCUCGGCAGCACAGACACAAAACUGGAACGAUACAGAGAAGAGUAGCAUGCUAAGGGACGACAAGCAAAUUUGUGAAGUGUUAAACAAACAA